AUUUGCAUAUGGACAGACAGGUGAGCGUGGGAGUAAAUAGUUUUAGCUAUACCACACGCGAACAUACAUACCACUGACUGGAUUAAGAGUUUUGUCGGUUUGCCAGAGCAUCUUGCUUUGAACUAAGAGUCACCACAGGGCACGUCGUCGGUCAUCGCACCUGGACGCUCAAAACCCCGGCAGAAUCUUGGACAGUGACGAGACCCAUUUGAUCAACCCCAGAUUUCAUCAUUUUUUCGCUGUCCUUUUUACCUUACCGAUGCUGUGUUGGUCCAGAUGUAACAACACAGGCCUCACCGACGUGAUCGAGACUUUUCUAUUCCUCAGGGAGG